rnacentral:lncRNA from 1 species
GCAUUCAGAGUUCUUGACUGAUCUCUAAAUUGAUUACCUUGAACUGGAUGCUUUCUUUUGAUUCAAGUGGAUGCUUUUAGAGAGAAGUUGGUUCAUAGGAACCAAUAUCUCUGCUGAAAAGAUCUCCCUUCUCCAACCUGGCAAUUUCCCAGGCAGAAGAGUAGGAGGCAGUUUCUUCUCCGUGGGAACAGCUUCAAAGGGUCCUGAUUCUCGCUGUCCGGAAACAAGUAUUUCAGGAUCCUCUGGGAUCUUGGAGUCUUCUGCUGGUUCUCCCAUGUCUGAUAUGAAACAAGAACAAAAGACCCUAGAAUGCAGGAACUUACAUUGUUUCCAUUCACAUCACAUCAGGCAGAGCUACUCAUUUUCCCCUGUCCUCCAAUGCUCCAUAAUUGAAAAGAUCUGGGGAGUAGCUAGCAUUCCCUGCCACAGUAGCAGGUCCCCCAUUAUUCCCUAA